AAUAGUCGGUACCAACGAGUCGGCCAACAAAUAAGAUGAAGGAUCACACUGCCAAUAUGGCCGCUAUUUUUACACACGUGUCAGAGUAAUAUAUCAUCUCCAGCGAACGGAGGCACUCUCUUUAGCUGCAGAAAUAUUUAUUUUAUAAAAUAUGCCCUUUUACGGUGAUUCUAUAGCCGAAUAUGUUGUACACACCCCCAAAGAAGUAGGUUGUAGAAGGAGUGAAUGUUGCUGUAUAGCUUAUUUUGUUAAGUACUGCAAGUCUGUGUUGCAAUUGAAGUGAGAUUGAAAGAACUUUAUUGAAGUACAAUAGGUCGCACUCGUCUCCUAGCCCGAACAGGGCCCCUCCCACGUUGGCACUGAAAGGUCUUGCAUUUCAGCCACUUCACGGGCCUGUUGGACUCAUCAUUGUCUCUCUAAUGAAGGACUUCGUAACGCUGCAUCCCGUCAUCCUUCAGCAUUUUCCUUCUCGCUGCGUAAAGCAGAUCGACGCCAAGGCAUACGAGCGAGAACUAUGGUUACGUGGCAUUUAUUGCAUGAUGUAGGAACAGAGACCUCUGGAUGAAUUCUUCUAAUUACCAGCAGCUGAAGGAAUGAAUCGUGUGAUUGGAAUGGACCUGCUGAUGGCUGUUGUUGUGAUAGGUGUUCUUAUAAAGGCACCAACUUAUGCCCUCGCUGGUGCAAGAGGUGUAGGGGGAACCGAGGGCAUCGGUGGUGUUGGCAAGAAGUGAAUUAACAAGUGUGCCACCGCUCGCAGUUCUGCUGGCUUCACGCUAUAGAAAGUGUAUUCGAAAUGAUUAAACGAAUUUCAGAAGUGUU